rnacentral:lncRNA from 1 species
CCGACCCGCCCCCUGGCUGCUACAGGCCGGCGCGCAGCGCACCCCGCUCGGCCGGCGCCACGCAUGCGCCUUAGGAGAGGGAGUAUUAAUUAUACAAAAAAGUCUGUUAAGAAGUCAAGGUCCAAGGAACCGGUAAAGACUGGGCAAUAGAAGAAGCUUCCUGCAACCUCCUAAUUGAUGUGGAUUCCUCCUGCAUGCUGCUGUUAAAGGUUAAGCUGAUUUAUUGUUCAGUUAUUUAUCUGCCUGGUUAACUGCUGGUGGCUGUGGCUCGUAAGUGAACAGAUUGCAGUUUCCAUAUUAGCUGAAUAAUGCUGAUGCAACGUGAUGUUUUGAGUGAGGAGUGAAGUUUCAGCACAAGACUUGGUCAUCACCUUGUAGCAUUACUCCUGUCGCGGAUUGAACCUUGCUCUUUGUCUCUGCUGGAAGUCAGGGUGGAUGUGAACUAAGACUGGCUGCCGAGCCACUGACUCUUCUCCAAGUAGAGAAAUU